rnacentral:rRNA from 1 species
GACGAACGCUGGCGGCGUGCUUAACACAUGCAAGUCGAACGGAAAGGCCCUGCUUUUGUGGGGUGCUCGAGUGGCGAACGGGUGAGUAACACGUGAGUAACCUGCCCUUGACUUUGGGAUAACUUCAGGAAACUGGGGCUAAUACCGGAUAGGAGCUCCUGCUGCAUGGUGGGGGUUGGAAAGUUUCGGCGGUUGGGGAUGGACUCGCGGCUUAUCAGCUUGUUGGUGGGGUAGUGGCUUACCAAGGCUUUGACGGGUAGCCGGCCUGAGAGGGUGACCGGCCACAUUGGGACUGAGAUACGGCCCAGACUCCUACGGGAGGCAGCAGUGGGGAAUAUUGCACAAUGGGCGGAAGCCUGAUGCAGCAACGCCGCGUGCGGGAUGACGGCCUUCGGGUUGUAAACCGCUUUCGCCUGUGACGAAGCGUGAGUGACGGUAAUGGGUAAAGAAGCACCGGCUAACUACGUGCCAGCAGCCGCGGUGAUACGUAGGGUGCGAGCGUUGUCCGGAUUUAUUGGGCGUAAAGGGCUCGUAGGUGGUUGAUCGCGUCGGAAGUGUAAUCUUGGGGCUUAACCCUGAGCGUGCUUUCGAUACGGGUUGACUUGAGGAAGGUAGGGGAGAAUGGAAUUCCUGGUGGAGCGGUGGAAUGCGCAGAUAUCAGGAGGAACACCAGUGGCGAAGGCGGUUCUCUGGGCCUUUCCUGACGCUGAGGAGCGAAAGCGUGGGGAGCGAACAGGCUUAGAUACCCUGGUAGUCCACGCUGUAAACGGUGGGUACUAGGUGUGGGGUCCAUUCCACGGGUUCCGUGCCGUAGCUAACGCUUUAAGUACCCCGCCUGGGGAGUACGGCCGCAAGGCUAAAACUCAAAGGAAUUGACGGGGCCCCGCACAAGCGGCGGAGCAUGCGGAUUAAUUCGAUGCAACGCGUAGAACCUUACCUGGGUUUAACAUGGAUCGGGAGUGCUCAGAGAUGGGUGUGCCUCUUUUGGGGUCGGUUCACAGGUGGUGCAUGGCUGUCGUCAGCUCGUGUCGUGAGAUGUUGGGUUAAGUCCCGCAACGAGCGCAACCCUUGUUCACUGUUGCCAGCACGUUAUGGUGGGGACUCAGUGGAGACCGCCGGGGUCAACUCGGAGGAAGGUGGGGAUGACGUCAAGUCAUCAUGCCCCUUAUGUCCAGGGCUUCACGCAUGCUACAAUGGCUGGUACAGAGAGUGGCGAGCCUGUGAGGGUGAGCGAAUCUCGGAAAGCCGGUCUCAGUUCGGAUUGGGGUCUGCAACUCGACCUCAUGAAGUCGGAGUCGCUAGUAAUCGCAGAUCAGCAACGCUGCGGUGAAUACGUUCCCGGG